AUCCUAAUACAGGGAGGUAGUGACAAGAAAUAACAAUACAGGACUUUUUGGUUUUGUAAUUGGAAUGAGUUAAGUAUAAACCCCUUUACAAGUAUCAAUUGGAGGGCAAGUCUGGUGCCAGCAGCCGCGGUAAUUCCAGCUCCAAUAGCGUAUAUUAAAGUUGUUGCAGUUAAAAAGCUCGUAGUUGGAUUUCUGUUAAUAAUUUAUAUAAAAUAUUUUGAUGAAUAUUUAUAUAAUAUUAACAUAAUUCAUAUUACUAUUUUUUUUUUUAGUAUAUGAAAUUUUACUUUGAGAAAAUUAGAGUGCUUAAAGCAGGCAUAUGCCUUGAAUACUCCAGCAUGGAAUAAUAUUAAAGAUUUUUAUCUUUUUUAUUGGUUCUAAAAUAAAAAUAAUGAUUAAUAGGGACAGUUGGG
rnacentral:rRNA from 1 species